rnacentral:lncRNA from 12 species
AGGACAAGUGAGGUCUCUGCUGUAACUUUAUCUCCUGUUGCUGGAUUUGCUGCUCCCCUUGGAGCACUGUGACUAAUUCCUAUUGUGAAAGCUGGGGUAGGGCCUGGGUUAUUCAGAGCAUGCUUGUUUGACAACCAUUCUGGGAUUCCACUUCCAGAGCAGUGUGUGGGCACUCACUUGUUUGAUUAGCUGUGGUCCCAGCCAUAAACAAGAGCUGCAAAACACAGAGCUGCCCUGGGCACCCAUGCUGUGUCAUGUUGCAAGAGCUGGGGUGAGGGCAGAGGGAGAGCUGAGGCAACAGCAAUGGGCUUUGAUGUGCUGGUUUUGCAGAGCUACCUCAGAAGCUCUUUACAGGGGUCUCCUGUGCCUGGGGGUGAGUGCAAACGGGGAGGUGCUUCCAAAUGCAAGACUGGGCUGGAGUGAUGAUAUUGGUAUAGUUAGUGCGUGGAUGGAGCCAGCCAAGACAGGGCUCAUGCUGAAGGUAGUAUUUAAUAGGUGCAGGGUGCACCACAGGGAAGAAGAAAUCAAGAUACUGGGUGGGGGAAUUGCAAAAUGGGAGAAAUGCAGUCUGAAAGAGGCUGGGACAGGAGGAGUAGUGGGUGAAGCAAUGCUGGUUGCUGGCAUCCCAGCGCUGUGGUGGGGGGAACAGAACAAAAUUGCAAGUUGCUCAGACCAUACAAGCUGUCACAAAGCUGUGUUCUCUGGUGCUGUGAAGCCUUUGCACUAGACUCAAGUGCUAGAGGCUCAGCAGCCACCAGGAGAAAAAUC